rnacentral:misc_RNA from 1 species
GUAUGUUCUUUCUGAUCUUUUCAAUGUUUGCUGGAAUUUAUUGUUAUUGGGUUCGUUUCGGUGAUGAUGUUCUGUUACUGUUAGGUUGGUUUUAAAAAGUAGGUAAAAAGAGAACUUGAGCUGUGGGUUUUAGUUCUUGGCUUGAUAUUUGUGGAAAGUGGAAACUUGAACUGUGAGAUACAAAAUUUUUGUUUGCUUUUUAAUGUUAAUUUUAUCCUCAGGAACCAGACACAGCGUAGGUUAGAUGGCGCAGUUAUAUUUUUUAGGAUUGUAACUGCUUUCUGUUUCAUAUAUUUAUUUUAGUUCUGCAAAUUCUUAUUUGUGGUUCUUGUUUGCUUGUUUAAAGGCUCAGAAUUCUUCUGCAAGUUAAAUGAUUUUAACAAUUUUAUGGUAGUUUUAUUACAACUACUUCAAGUUGAGAUAUCGGCCUUUUGAUUUCUUUUCCUCUCAAAAUUUAUUUGUGUUUAACAAUCCCAUGUGUGUUUUUACCUUUUUAAAUGUUUGAAAUUGAAAGUGUGUUUUUGAUGUUCUUCGUUACAAUCUUGUAGAAAAGGGGAGUUCGAACAAGGCCUGAGAAGAGAGAACUUUUUCCAUGUGCAGUGGGUCAGAGAGGAAACCGACUUAUACUGGUUUCAUCAUGGAGAAUAAAUUUCAAAAGCAAGAUGGGUAUUGCUGUAAUCUCUCUGUUU